GAUGAACGCUGGCGGCGUGCCUAAUACAUGCAAGUCGAGCGAACAGGCGAGGAGCUUGCUCCUCUGACGUUAGCGGCGGACGGGUGAGUAACACGUGGAUAACCUACCUAUAAGACUGGGAUAACUUCGGGAAACCGGAGCUAAUACCGGAUAAUAUAUUGAACCGCAUGGUUCAAUAGUGAAAGACGGUUUUGCUGUCACUUAUAGAUGGAUCCGCGCCGCAUUAGCUAGUUGGUAAGGUAACGGCUUACCAAGGCAACGAUGCGUAGCCGACCUGAGAGGGUGAUCGGCCACACUGGAACUGAGACACGGUCCAGACUCCUACGGGAGGCAGCAGUAGGGAAUCUUCCGCAAUGGGCGAAAGCCUGACGGAGCAACACCGCGUGAGUGAUGAAGGUCUUCGGAUCGUAAAACUCUAUUAUUAGGGAAGAACAAAUGUGUAAGUAACUAUGCACGUCUUGACGGUACCUAAUCAGAAAGCCACGGCUAACUACGUG
rnacentral:rRNA from 1 species